UGGAAUUACAAAUGGUUGAUGCAAUGG
rnacentral:piRNA from 1 species